AGGACGAACGCUGGCGGCGUGCUUAACACAUGCAAGUCGAACGGUGAACCUCCUUCGGGAGGGGAUCAGUGGCGAACGGGUGAGUAACACGUGAGCAACCUGCCCCUAGUUCUGGGAUAACCGCGGGAAACCGCAGCUAAUACCGGAUACGAGACCAAGCGGCAUCACAAGGUCUGGAAAGUUUUUCGGCCGGGAGGGGCUCGCGGCCUAUCAGCUUGUUGGCGGGGUAACGGCCCACCAAGGCGACGACGGGUAG
rnacentral:rRNA from 1 species